rnacentral:rRNA from 1 species
CAGUCGAGCGAAUGGAUUAAGAGCUUGCUCUUAUGAAGUUAGCGGCGGACGGGUGAGUAACACGUGGGUAACCUGCCCAUAAGACUGGGAUAACUCCGGGAAACCGGGGCUAAUACCGGAUAACAUUUUGAACCGCAUGGUUCGAAAUUGAAAGGCGGCUUCGGCUGUCACUUAUGGAUGGACCCGCGUCGCAUUAGCUAGUUGGUGAGGUAACGGCUCACCAAGGCAACGAUGCGUAGCCGACCUGAGAGGGUGAUCGGCCACACUGGGACUGAGACACGGCCCAGACUCCUACGGGAGGCAGCAGUAGGGAAUCUUCCGCAAUGGACGAAAGUCUGACGGAGCAACGCCGCGUGAGUGAUGAAGGCUUUCGGGUCGUAAAACUCUGUUGUUAGGGAAGAACAAGUGCUAGUUGAAUAAGCUGGCACCUUGACGGUACCUAACCAGAAAGCCACGGCUAACUACGUGCCAGCAGCCGCGGUAAUACGUAGGUGGCAAGCGUUAUCCGGAAUUAUUGGGCGUAAAGCGCGCGCAGGUGGUUUCUUAAGUCUGAUGUGAAAGCCCACGGCUCAACCGUGGAGGGUCAUUGGAAACUGGGAGACUUGAGUGCAGAAGAGGAAAGUGGAAUUCCAUGUGUAGCGGUGAAAUGCGUAGAGAUAUGGAGGAACACCAGUGGCGAAGGCGACUUUCUGGUCUGUAACUGACACUGAGGCGCGAAAGCGUGGGGA